CGGUCAUGUGACCCGCCUCUGGUCCAAUGGAAAAGCCGUGUAUUCUUGUAAACAAUAGAUAAAAACGCGUAUUCUUGAUACGUGAGAUAGAGGGAAAACACCGACACACGACUUCAGGUUUCUUUAUUUCGCAAAACGCUGUAUGCAUGAAAUGAUUGAAGAUCGACGGAAGCUGGUAUUUGCCGAACUGUCAAUCCUGGCACGACAUGCCGCAACUCCAUGGCGUAAGUUGAUAGAACACAUUGUCAGCAACAUCUGUCAACUGUGUCACUGUGGACUGUAAUGUGAGUCAUGCAGAUGUGUUAACUGUGUCUCUGUGGACUGUAACGUGUAAUGCAGAUCUGUGUCACUGGUCAGUGUAUAGAGGGCCAGGCAGAUGUGUCACAGGUUACUGUACUGUAUGUCGGGUAGAUGUGUCACAGGUUAAUGUGAAGUGUGUCGGGUAGAUGUGUCACAGGUUACUGUACUGUAUGUCGGGUAGAUGUGUCACAGGUUACUGUACUGUAUGUCGGAUA